rnacentral:rRNA from 1 species
GACGAACGCUGGCGGCGUGCUUAACACAUGCAAGUCGAACGGUGAAGCACCUUCCUUUUGGUGGGUGUGGAUGAGAGGCGAACGGGUGAGUAACACGUGAGUAACCUGCCCCCUUCUUCUGGAUAACCGCAUGAAAGUGUGGCUAAUACGGGAUAUUCUGUGCCUGCUGCAUGGUGGGUGUGGGAAAGAUGCGCUUUUGGGGGUGUUUGGUGGGGGAUGGGCUCGCGGCCUAUCAGCUUGUGGGUGGGGUGAUGGCCUACCAAGGCGGUGACGGGUAGCCGGCCGGAGGGGGUGGCCCGUCACGCUUGGACUGAGGCCCAGCCCAGUCUGCUACGCGGGGCAGCGGUGGGGAGUAUUGCACAAUGGGCGCUAGCCUAAUGCAGCGACGCCGCGUGAGGGGUGGUGGCCUUCGUGUUGUAAUCCUCUUGCGCCAGUGAAGCAGUCCUGUCCCUUGUGGGUGGGUUGACGGUAGCUGGAUAAGAAGCGCCGGCUAACUACGUG